rnacentral:rRNA from 1 species
CCUACGGGGGGCUGCAGUGGGGAAUAUUGGACAAUGGGCGAAAGCCUGAUCCAGCCAUGCCGCGUGUGUGAAGAAGGUCUUCGGAUUGUAAAGCACUUUAAGUUGGGAGGAAGGGCAGUAAAUUAAUACUUUGCUGUUUUGACGUUACCGACAGAAUAAGCACCGGCUAACUCUGUGCCAGCAGCCGCGGUAAUACAGAGGGUGCAAGCGUUAAUCGGAAUUACUGGGCGUAAAGCGCGCGUAGGUGGUUCGUUAAGUUGGAGGUGAAAUCCCCGGGCUAAACCUGGAAACUGCAUUCAAAAAUGACGAGCUAGAGUAUGGUAGAGGGUGGUGAAAUUUCCUGUGUAGCGGUAAAAUGCGUAGAUAUAGGAAGGAACACCAGUGGCGAGGGCGACCACCGGGACUGAUACUGACACUGAGGUGCGAAAGCGGGGGGAUCAAACAGGAUUAGAUCCCCCUGUAGU